UCUCAGGGCUGGCGGGGCUUUCAGAAGCGGCCGGUCUGUGAAGCGACAGAGGCACGGAAGCGAGUUUGAUACGCUAUUCUUGACAUUGCUGAUAACGAUUCCGCUCCAGCGCUGGGAACUCGAUUACUAAAAUUAUCCAGUAAUCACGAAUGACUGACGAAUGAAAAAUCAUGGAAAUUCAUUGGUCUAAAGGUCUGAUGAGUAUUCCUGCUGCUG